AGUAUUUGUGACCUGUGCAUAACUCUGUGAUUUUAUUAAUCCGUAGUUUUCACUCACCUCAUCACUGAUUUCGCAUAAUGCACAUUAUGUUAAAU
rnacentral:ncRNA from 1 species